AAAUUCAUGACAGUACACCACAGCCAACCAUUUCCAAGUGGACAAGAGGCUGAAUGCAAAGUAAAGCACUGUACACCCAAAUGUGGUUUAGGCCUUAACCAUAUCCUUUAUUCUGACACUUCUCACAGGUGCUGGUAUCCGUGCUCCAUCCCACUCAGCAAUUUCUGCAGACUUCUCAGGCUGCCAGUCCCUAAAAGGAUCCACUUCAUCCAGCUCGGGGAAGAAAAGGAGCAAUGCUACUGACAGCAGGAAUCAGAAGCUUCGUGAACAACAGCACCAAAAGGCUGCCAGGCAUUAGAACAGAUACAGCUGGGCUGAACCAGCAUGAUUAGAUGGAACACAGUAUGUUACUGAAAGGUCAGUGAGUAUUAUUUCUCACACAAUGUGCCUCCUGAUUCAGUGGCGCGGUGCUCAGAUCUAAAUUUUGUUUUGUCAGUGACAGCAGGAUGCUGUUUUGCCUGGUGAGAGGGGUGAGUUGUCUCAGGUUUGUGAAUCAGGACCUCAGAGGCUUUCCACUGACCCCACGAAACCCUUCUCGUGACAUACAACGUCGGUAUCACUGUUGCCUUGUCAACAACAUGCACCCAGUGUGUGGAAGCACCGUCUCUCUGCACAACACCAGUGGAUGGCAGCAGAGAACCAGAGAAUGAAAAGGCCAAUUAUUUAAGCACACUUCCAGUAACUUCCUAGUCCUGUGUGAGGUCUAUCAGAGGGAUCUGGAAAUUAAUUAUUGUCCCUUUUGACCUAAUAGUGUGAAAGAGUGGCACUGCACGGGGCUGGGUCUCCCAUGACUGCUCGUGGCACCACAUUGGGUUUGGGGAGCCUCUCUGGGGGGCUUCACUCUCAGCUCUCCGCCUUUUCCCAGUGGAACUGCUGCUCUGGUUUAUGCAUCCGAGGAGCAAUGGAGGAGGAAAGCAGCGCACGAGACAGCGACCCUUAUAAAAAUGGUUUGUGCUUUAGAUUUCUAUGUAAAAAUAAACAUGUACAUUUAUUGUAAGCAGAAGAUAUUGGGGUCUGAGGAAAAUGAUCUGUGUGCCCAAGAAGGCCAACGCUAUCUGGGGCGCAUUAAAACGAGCGCGGCCAGCAGACUGAGGGAGGUAACUCUUGCCCCUCUACUCUGCCCUGGUGAGGCCACAUUUAGAACAGCGUGCCCAAUCGUCCGUUCCCGGCCAUCCCCGCCCCCGGCAGCCCGGCCCGGUCGGCCCUGUGACGGGGCGGGGCCGCCACCUCCCCUUCGGCAGCGGGCGGCAGCCGUGCGGCUCCGCGGCUAUGGGGCUGUGUCUGCCCUGCAUGGGGGGAGCCGUCAAGGACGUGGUGGAGACGCCCGACCCGGCUUCCUCUCGAGGCAUUAA
ensembl:lncRNA